GUUUUUCUUUCCCCUUUGUCACAUCUCGAGCCACAGGAUGGUCUAGCUCAGUGAGGAGCACAGCAAUACCUUGAAGUUCUGCCUGAUUUCCUUGACAUGCAGUGAGGGCAAUAGUGAGUUCAUAGAAGACUCGUCCUUCCUCUUGCCUUGGGGUGAGGAGGACGGUGAUUUUCUGGUUGCCGGCAACUUCUCCCUGGGUUGCAGCGUGGAGGACAUCAAGUUCUUGGCAGCCUUUGCACUUCUCCUUGCCUUGCAGAGAGCAGAACAGUGAGUUCCUGGCAGCUCGUGCCCUUCUCCUUGCGUCGCACUGAGGGCCUUCCUCCAGUCAGAGCUGCCAAGAGCACUGGUUACGUCGUGUGUCUCUGUGAGUUUGUGUGAGAAAGAGUGAGGCAAAGAGGAGAAGGAAUAAUAGAGAGGAAAAAACUCAGAAAGGGGACGAGGGAGAUGUAUAGUGAUGAGUGAGAGAGUGAGAGAGUGAGAGAGAGAGAAAACAGAGACAGAGUCGGAGAUUUGUGUUUCAUCCUGCCAGUGAGCCCUGAGAGCCUCGUUGCUCAUGCAUCAGUGGAACCUGCAGAGGCCCGACCCCACGACAAAGAGCCACUGUUGUUCCCAACCUUCACAGAGCCGUGCAGAAAGGACAUGUGGGAACUCGUAAGUACCGGUUUAGGAUGAACCUCUUCACAGUGUGUCAAAGAAAUACAUGCAGCAGCUCUUGAAUUUCAGAUACAUUCCCUUCUGUCUGUCGUUAGUUGCCCUUUAACUAGUCUGUUCUGCUUCUAUCCUUGUCAGGGGUCAAACUGUCUGACCUGUGUAUUCCAAAAAGUUGACUGCAAUUCUUUGUAUUGGGAGUGCUGGAGGGUUUCCUUUCCCCUUCAUUAGGUAUUGAGCAACAGGAUGACCCAGCUAAAGCCAGGUUGUGCUGGAGUUUUACUACUGAUAUGACCUUGUGGGCUGAGAAGGUGCACUGUAAUCUUUAUUUCUAAUUAGAAUCCCAGGACUAAUAAAACCAAACACAAAUGUUUAAAUUUUCGACA
rnacentral:lncRNA from 1 species